UUGGGUAUAAGGGUGCGUAGGCGGCCCCCCAAGUCAGCGGUGAAAUGUCCGGGCCCAACCCGGAGGGUGCCGUUGAUACUGUGGGGCUGGAGUACGGACGCCGGCGGAGGAAUGAGUGGUGUAGCGGUGAAAUGCAUAGAUAUCACUCAGAACACCGAUUGCGAAGGCAUCCGCCGAGGCCGUUACUGACGCUGAGGCACGAAAGCGUGGGGAUAGAACAGGAUUAGAUACCCUGGUAUUCCACGCCGUAAACGAUGAUGACUAACCGCCGGGGGGAGACUUCCGGCAGCCAAGCGAAAGCGAUAAGUCAUCCACCUGGGGAGUACGGCCGCAAGGCUGAAACUCAAAGGAAUUGACGGGGGCCCGCACAAGCGGAGGAACAUGUGGUUUAAUUCGAUGAUACGCGAGGAACCUUACCCGGGCUCGAACGGCGCGCGAAGCGGGCGGAGACGCCCACGCCCCUCGGGGCGCGCGCCGAGGUGCUGCAUGGUUGUCGUCAGCUCGUGCCGUGAGGUGUCGGCUUAAGUGCCAUAACGAGCGCAACCCCCCUCUUCAGUUGCCAUCAGGUCAAGCUGGGCACUCUGGAGACACUGCCACCGUAAGGUGUGAGGAAGGUGGGGAUGACGUCAAAUCAGCACGGCCCUUUACGUCCGGGGCUACACACGUGUUACAAUGGUGGUACAGAGAGUUGGGUGCGCGCAAGCUCACCCUAAUCAAGAAAUCCAUCCUCAGUUCGGACUGGGUCUGCAACCCGACCCCACGAAGCUGGAUUCGCUAGUAAUCGCGCAUCAGCCAUGG
rnacentral:rRNA from 1 species